UACGUAGGGUGCAAGCGUUAAUCGGAAUUACUGGGCGUAAAGCGUGCGCAGGCGGUUUUGUAAGUCUGUUGUGAAAGCCCCGGGCUCAACUUGGGAACGGCAUUGGAAACUGGCGAGCUAGAGUGUGGCAGAGGGGGGUGGAAUUCCGCGUGUAGCAGUGAAAUGCGUAGAGAUGCGGAGGAACACCGAUGGCGAAGGCAGCCCCCUGGGCUGACACUGACGCUCAGGCACGAAAGUGUGGGGAGCAAACAGG
rnacentral:rRNA from 1 species